GCAGACUGAGAACAUGUUAAACCACUUGGGAUCGAGGCACCAGAGAAAUUUGGUGUCAAGUCCCCUUCUCGUGUAUAUGCAUUUGACCUCAAGUGCUUAUACUAUGGGCUAACGAACCCCGGCGCGGUAUGCGCCAAGGAAUACUCGUAGAUGCAUCCGCCUUCAACGCCCCGUACUCGGUGUGCGAUGUUUGUAGGAAUGUCUCUGUAAAGUCUAAACGACUCUCGGCAACGGAUAUCUCGGCUCUUGCAUCGAUGAAGAACGUAGCGAAAUGCGAUACUUGGUGUGAAUUGCAGAAUCCCGUGAACCAUCGAGUCUUUGAACGCAAGUUGCGCCCAAAACCACUUGGUUGAGGGCACGUCUGCCUGGGUGUCACGCAUCGCGUCACCCCCAUAUCUAUCCCAUACAUGGUGAUUUAGUUUGGGGGCGGAUAUUGACCCCCCGUGUACAUUAGUAUGUGGUCGGUCUAAAUGAGAACCUGUGGCAACUCGUGUCACGAUAAGUGGUGGUUGAAUACUCAACUUUCGUGUUAUCGUGUCAAAUGUAGUUGCAUGCUGGCAUCGUAACAAACCCAAAGGCUUGAUCCACUCAAGCUUUCGACCGCGACCCCAGGUCAG
rnacentral:rRNA from 1 species